AUGAUAGAGGCGCGGUGUUCAUCAGUACCGUCCGGCAAAGCCAGGCAGCUGCCGGAGGGAAAGGGAGCAUCGCCGAAGGACCGGGGCCUUGCCUGAAGUACCGGUUCUGGGCCGCCCGAGAAAAUCGUGCGGACUGUCACAAGUCUUUGUGGAGCGCUAUCG
rnacentral:ncRNA from 1 species